rnacentral:rRNA from 1 species
UACGAAGGGGGCUAGCGUUGCUCGGAAUUACUGGGCGUAAAGGGAGCGUAGGCGGAUAGGUUAGUCAGAGGUGAAAGCCCAGGGCUCAACCUUGGAAUUGCCUUUGAUACUGGCUAUCUUGAGUACGGAAGAGGUAUGUGGAACUCCGAGUGUAGAGGUGAAAUUCGUAGAUAUUCGGAAGAACACCAGUGGCGAAGGCGACAUACUGGUCCGUUACUGACGCUGAGGCUCGAAAGCGUGGGGAGCAAACAGG